rnacentral:rRNA from 1 species
UAAAGAAUUUCGGUAUGGGAUGGGGAUGCGUUCCAUUAGUUAGUUGGCGGGGUAGCGGCCCACCAAGACAACGAUGGAUAGGGGUUCUGAGAGGAAGGUCCCCCACAUUGGAACUGAGACACGGUCCAAACUCCUACGGGAGGCAGCAGUGAGGAAUAUUGGUCAAUGGACGAGAGUCUGAACCAGCCAAGUAGCGUGAAGGAUGACUGCCCUAUGGGUUGUAAACUUCUUUUAUAUGGGAAUAAAAUGUUCCACGUGUGGGAUUUUGUAUGUACCAUAUGAAUAAGGAUCGGCUAACUCCGUGCCAGCAGCCGCGGUAAUACGGAGGAUCCGAGCGUUAUCCGGAUUUAUUGGGUUUAAAGGGAGCGUAGGUGGAUUGUUAAGUCAGUUGUGAAAGUUUGCGGCUCAACCGUAAAACUGCAGUUGAAACUGGCAGUCUUGAGUACAGUAGAGGUGGGCGGAAUUCGUGGUGUAGCGGUGAAAUGCUUAGAUAUCACGAAGAACUCCGAUUGCGAAGGCAGCUCACUGGACUGCAACUGACACUGAGGCUCGAAAGUGUGGGUAUCAAACAGGAUUAGAUACCCUGGUAGUCCACACAGUAAACGAUGAAUACUCG